UACGUAGGGAGCAAGCGUUGUCCGGAAUCAUUGGGCGUAAAGCGCGCGUAGGUGGCCCGGUAAGUCCGCUCUGAAAGUCACAGGCUCAACCUGUGAAAGCGGGUGGAUACUGCCGGGCUAGAGUCCGGAAGAGGCAAGUGGAAUUCCUGGUGUAGCGGUGGAAUGCGCAGAUAUCAGGAGGAACACCAACGGCGAAGGCAGCUCGCUGGGACGGUACUGACACUGAGGCGCGAAAGCGUGGGGAGCGAACAGG
rnacentral:rRNA from 1 species